rnacentral:rRNA from 1 species
AUGGAUGUUGAGUCGUCGAGGCAACAAGGUCCCAAGGGGGACUCCAACUCCAACCCCAUGGCUGCCGCCUCCGAGGUCUCUGUGGACUGGAGGGGCAGGCCUUGCAGGCCUCAAAGGCAUGGAGGCAUGAAGGCUGCUGUGUUUGUCCUAGGGAUCCAGGCGUUUGAGAUCAUGGCGAUCGCGGCGGUGGGGAACAACCUCAUCACCUACGUGUUCAACGAGAUGCACUUCCCGCUGUCCAAGUCGGCCAACAUCGUCACCAACUUCAUCGGCACCAUGUUCCUCCUCUCCCUGCUCGGCGGCUUCCUCUCAGACUCCUACCUCGGCAGCUUCUGGACCAUGCUCAUCUUCGGCUUCGUCGAGCUCUCCGGGUUUAUAUUGCUGGCGGUGCAGGCGCACCUGCCGCAGCUGCGCCCGCCGGCGUGCGACAUGAAGGCGGCCGAGCAGUGCGAGGAGGUGGCGGGGGUGAAGGCCGGCAUCUUCUUCGCCGCGCUCUACCUGGUGGCGCUGGGCAGCGGAUGCCUCAAGCCCAAUAUCAUCGCGCACGGCGCCGACCAGUUCCGUCGCGACGGCGAGGAGGCAGUCGAUGGCGGGAAGCGGCUCUCCAGCUACUUCAACGCGGCCUACUUCAGCUUCUGCGUGGGCGAGAUGGUGGCGCUCACCGUGCUCGUCUGGGUGCAGACACGCUCCGGGAUGGACGUCGGUUUCGGGGUCUCUGCCGCUGCCAUGGCGGUCGGCCUUGUCAGCCUCGUCGCCGGCGUUUUCUUCUACCGGAACAAGCCACCGCAGGGCAGCAUCUGCACGCCGAUAGCAAAGGUCUUCGUCGCCGCGGUAGCCAAGAGGAAGCAAGUGUGCCCAUCGUCCAGGGCCACACUGCAGGGCAUCUCCUCCACGGGUGCACAUGAGAUGCGUCUCAACACCACCAACAUCUGCAGCAUCAAUAAGUUCAGGUUCCUGGACAAAGCGUGCGUGAAGGCGCAGGACGGUGGCAGCAAGGAGAGCGGGUGGGGGCUGUGCACGGCGGCGGAGGUGGAGCAGGUGAAGGUGCUGCUGUGCGUGGUGCCCAUCUUCGCGUGCACCAUCGUCUUCAACACCAUCCUCGCGCAGCUUCAGACCUUCUCGGUGCAGCAAGGGAGCGCCAUGGACACCCGGCUCGCCGCCAACUUCCACGUCCCCCCGGCGUCGCUCCAGGCCAUCCCCUAUAUCAUGCUCAUCGUGCUCGUCCCGGCCUACGAGGCCGUCUUCGUGCCCGCCGCGCGCCGCCUCACGGGGGUCGGCACAGGCAUCACGCCGCUCCAGCGGAUCGGGGUCGGCCUCUUCGCCGUCACCUUCUCCAUGGUGGCCGCCGCGCUGGUCGAGGCCCGCCGCCGCCACUCGUCCGUCUACGGAGAUGGGCGAACGCUCUCCAUCUUCUGGAUCGCGCCGCAGUUCCUGGUGUUCGGGCUGUCGGAGAUGUUCACAGCCGUGGGGCUCAUCGAGUUCUUCUACAAGCAGUCGCUCUCCGGCAUGCAGGCCUUCCUCACCUCCAUGACCUACUGCUCCUACUCCUUCGGCUUCUACCUCAGCUCCGUGCUGGUGUCGCUCGUCAACAGGGUGACCUCGAGGAAUGGCGGCAAUGGCUGGCUCAGCAACAACGACCUCGACAAGGACAGGCUCGACCUCUUCUACUGGCUCCUGGCCGCGCUCAGCAUCCUCAACUUCUUCAACUUCCUCUUCUGGUCGAGGUGGUACUCCAACAGCGUCGAGACGGUGCAGGUUGCCGGAGUUGGAGGCGAUGGUGGCAGUGAGCAGGAGGAUGAGAAGAAUUCUGCGUGA